rnacentral:rRNA from 1 species
GUAGGGUGGCAAGCGUUGUCCGGAAUUAUUGGGCGUAAAGCGCGCGCAGGCGGUUCUUUAAGUCUAGACUGUGAAAGCCCACGGCUCAACCGUGGAGGGUCAUUGGAAACUGGAGAACUUGAGUACAGAAGAGGAAAGCGGAAUUCCACGUGUAAGCGGUGAAAUGCGUAGAGAUGUGGAGGAACACCAGUGGCGAAGGCGGCUUUCUGGUCUGUAACUGACGCUAGAGGCGCGAAAGCGUGGGGAGCAAACCAGGAUUAGAUACCCUGGUAGUCCAGCCGUAAACGAUGAGUGCUAAGUGUUAGGGGGUUUCCGCCCCCUUAGUGCUGCAGCUAACGCAUUAAGCAGUCCGCCUGGGAUACGGCCGCAAAGGCUG